GAUGAACGCUAGCGGCAGGCCUAAUACAUGCAAGUCGAGGGGUAUGGGUUGCUUGCAACCCAGAGACCGGCGCACGGGUGCGUAACGCGUAUGCAAUCUACCUUAAUCAGGGGGAUAGCCCGGAGAAAUCCGGAUUAACACCGCAUAACAUUGAGUUGUGGCAUCACAGUUCAAUCAAAUAUUUAUAGGAUUAAGAUGAGCAUGCGUGACAUUAGUUAGUUGGUGAGGUAACGGCUCACCAAGACCACGAUGUCUAGGGGAUCUGAGAGGAUGACCCCCCACACUGGUACUGAGACACGGACCAGACUCCUACGGGAGGCAGCAGUAAGGAAUAUUGGUCAAUGGGCGCAAGCCUGAACCAGCCGUGCCGCGUGCAGGAAGACGGCCCUAUGGGUUGUAAACUGCUUUUGUACCGGAAUAAACCUUCUCUUGCGAGAGAAGCUGAACGUACGGUAAGAAUAAGGAUCGGCUAACUCCGUG
rnacentral:rRNA from 1 species